AUCAUGCUGGAGAUCUUUGUAUACCCGAGGCCUUCUGAAGAGAACGUGGUCCCAGAGUACACUCCCAGAAGGGGCUGGGACUUCGUAAGGAACAGGAGGAAUUAGGGACACAGUACCUGCCUUCAGCUCCUCAGGAUGCUGCAAGCCGCCCCCAGUCCUUCCAACUGUGUCUGGGAUCCCCACUGCACUAUUCCAGUACUGGGCAGAGAAACCUCAUGUCAACAGCUGCUGUGCUCUGCUCUUCUCCAAAGGCUCCCAAUUAAUUCUUUAAAACACAACCCAUCUGUUCUCAGCCUGCAAGCUGCUUGAGAUAGGGGCUGUCUUUGCUGUGUGUAUUAGAACAGCGCUGCAGAAAGGGGUCCUGGCCUUGGGCGCGGUGACAAGCAGAACAUUAAACUUUGUGUGAAGUGGCUGUGUGUUCUGGCACAGCCGUAGGCUGAUGAAGUUGUCAAGGGAAAUACCAUAUUUUUGUGUUCUCAACCAUGCGCGGAAACCAUCAUGAAUACAGAAGGGCAUCUGCUCAGUCUGGAGAUUUUUACUAUCCCCUUGCGCAGCUGCUUCUUUAGUGUUGUGGGUACUACUGAGCCGUGUUGUUCUCCUGGAUCUUUCUUUCAUGCAGUUUUAUUCUGAGUUUUGUUUUUCUGGAAGCAUGGUGGGGGAGCUGAGGCUUGUCUCUGUGGUCUUUUCUUUGCUGGAUCUCCAGGCUUGUGCUCCGGAGCUCAGCAGGACAAGGGUGCUGCUGAGCACGUGGCAUCCUGUGCUGCCUCCUGCCCUUUGUGGUGCUUCUGCACUGGGCUGGAGGCUGUGUCCUCGGGGCUCCUGAUAACCACAUCAAAACAGGCCUGGCCCUGUGACUGAGCCAAGGCUCUAAUUACCGAUGCAAACUCACUUUUAUGGUUCAGAUUUGUUAAAGAUUUUUGGCAGGCUGACCGGAGAGCCUUGUGCCACAUCAGGAGCUGCCUGUGUCCAAGCGCUGCACGUUGGACUGUACACUGCCUGUUUUCCUGCACAGAGAUAGCAUAAAAUCCACAACCGUGACUAAUUAGGUAGAAAUUAGAUGUUCUGCUCAUGCAAAACCUAGACCAAAUGUGUGCUGCUCAGAGGUCUGGUGCACAGAUGCUAUGUUACUGAGCGUGGAAGUGCAGCUGGAACACUCAGGUACUCUCCCUGUGUCACUGUGCAGCCUGCAGGGCAGGAGCCUGGCUGUCAUGCUGCCUUGGGCUGGGCAGUGCUGCUCCAUUGCUUGCUCUUCUCCACUGCUCAGGGUGCAGGUGGCUGCGUGGCUUAGCUGGGAUGUGGUUAAAGAUUACACCUAAAGGUCAGCUUGCUUAAAAUCAUUUGAGGGAAUGUUUUAAUUAAAAAAGCAUUAAAAAAAAAAAUCGGUGUAUGUGAUAGUAAAAGUGCGAUCGCUUUUCCUCAC
ensembl:lncRNA